UACAGAGGUGGCAAGCGUUGUUCGGAAUUACUGGGCGUAAAGGGCGCGUAGGCGGCCUUCUAAGUCAGACGUGAAAUCCCCCGGCUUAACCUGGGAACUGCGUCUGAUACUGGGAGGCUUGAGUAUGGGAGAGGGAUGUAGAAUUCCAGGUGUAGCGGUGAAAUGCGUAGAUAUCUGGAGGAAUACCGGUGGCGAAGGCGGCAUCCUGGACCAUAACUGACGCUGAGGCGCGAAAGCUAGGGGAGCGAACGGG
rnacentral:rRNA from 1 species